ensembl:lncRNA
UCUAAAACAAAACAAAAUUAUGUGUAUAGAAAUUAUUAUUAAAUUGAAAUAGUAAUAAAAUUGUUAGUUUUUUUGUAAAACGGUGUUAUUAAAAAUAUACGUCAUACAUAUAUAUAUUAUAUAUAUUUAAUUAUACGAUUGUAUAUGUGCAUGUUUCACCAUUUUUAAACACUCAAUUAUGAAAAGUUUUCAUAUUUCAUUUACGAAGUAACGAAAAAAAUGUAUUGUAAACAACUGAUGAGUUAUAAAUAUGUAUAUAAAUAUAUAUUAACUUAUAUUUAUUAUUUUUUUCUCCAUAUUUAUAAUAGUUAUUUUAAAAGCUAUUUUUUUUUUUUUUUUUUUAAUAUAUAUGAAAUAUUUUUGAAUGUUCAGCUAAUUUUUUUAUAUAUAGAUUGCGAAAAAAAAAAAAAAAAACGUAUUUGUAUAUGUGAAAAAAAGUUGAAUUUAUUCACUUAUAAAAAAUAAAAAUUAUUUUAUCCUUUUUAUACAAAGUUAUAUUGCAUAUAUAGAUAUAUAUAUAUAUAUAUGAACAAAUGUAAAUAUAAAUAUGUACAUAUAUAUAUGUGAAUAUAAUAUGUAUAUAUACAUAAUUAUAACAUUGUAGUUAGCGCCCUAAUUUUAUAUAUAACCAUUUGGGAGUACUACUGGAGGUCAUAAUUCAUUAACAACUUUAUUUUAUUAGGUUUAAAAAAUAAAUCACUAGAUUGUUAUAUAUAUAAAAAGAAAAAAAAAUUAAGUAAAAUUGCAAUAACGUUGUGAAAAAUAAGGAAGUUUAUUAUUUACAUUUAUGUAAAGAGAAAAACAAAAUGAAUUAUCAAAAUUUGAAAUGUUCGGAAUUAAAAGAUUUGUUAGCCAAAAGAGGUUUACCAUCACAUGGGAAAAAGAAUGAAUUGUUAGAAAGAUUAUUAAAACAUGAAGAAAAUAGUUUAAGCCAAGUAAAGUCGUACGUAAAAGAUAGUAAUAAUAAUUCUAACCACAAUACAAGCAAUUCUUUGUCAGAAAAAAACAUAUCAAAUAAAAAUAUAAAUUUAAAAGAAAAAACAGAAGAUUCUUGUACAAAAGAAUUUGAAGAAAACCAUAAGAAUACAAAUUAUAUAGAAGGUGAAAAAAAAAAAAAUAAAAUAUCAUUGAAUAAUAAAGAAGAAUUUAACAAAAGUGGGUUAAGCAGAAUGAAAGGGUUAUUAAAAAAUAUAUUAACCAGUAAUAGUAAUACAAAAAAUUUAAAAGAAUAUGAACAUUCUGAAUUGGAAAAUGAUAGUACAAUGAAAAAAAACCAAAAUAUGAAUAAUAACCGAGAAGGAAACAAAAAUAUAGAAAAUGAUAAUGAAGAAAGUAGUAAAAAAAAAAUGGCUAUACCAGAAAUAACAUUCUCGAAAGAAUCUAUAUAUAAUCAAAGCACUUUACAAAAAAAUACUACUCUAAGUACAAAUUGAAAAAAAAAAAAAAAAAAAAUACACAUAUAUAUAUAUAUAUAUAUAUGUGUAUCUUUAUUUUAUUUCAUUUAUGUAACACAUGCCUUUUUUCGUUUUGUACCAUCAUAUAUGUUACUGCCAUACUUUUUGUAAUUUUUUUUUUCUUUUUUUUUUUUUUUUUUUAAGAUGAUAAUACUUUUUUAACAGAAGAGAAAAAAAAAGAAAUAAGAAAAAAGCGAUUUGGUAAUUAUUACAAAUUGGCUUAUUCAUUUAUGCAUUUUUCUUUUUUUGGUUUCACUUUCCAUAUAUAUAUAUACACAUACAUUAUCUUUUGAUUUAUUACUUUUUUUUUUUUUACUCACAGAUUUUCUAUCUAAUGAUGAACGACUUGAAUCGAGAGCGAAAAGGUAUAAACAAAUGGAAAUAAACACUUAAAACGUAUUUAGAAUAAUAGGUGU